rnacentral:rRNA from 1 species
GACGUAGGGCGCGAGCGUUGUCCGGAUUUAUUGGGCGUAAAGAGCUCGUAGGCGGCUUGUCGCGUCGUCCGUGAAAACCCACAGCUCAACUGUGGGCUUGCGGUCGAUACGGGCAGGCUAGAGUUCGGUAGGGGAGACUGGAAUUCCUGGUGUAGCGGUGAAAUGCGUAGAUAUCUGCAGGAACACCCGUGGCGAAAGCGGCGCGCUGGACCACUACUGACGCUGAGGAACGAAAGCUAGGGGAGCAAACAGG